rnacentral:rRNA from 1 species
AUACGGAGGGGACAAGCGUUAUUCGGAAUCACUGGGCGUAAAGGACGCGUAGGCGGGUUAUUAAGUCGGGUGUGAAAUCCAAUGGCUCAACCAUUGAACUGCAUUCGAAACUGAUAACCUAGAGUAUGGAAGGGGCAGGUGGAAUUAGUGGUGUAGGGGUAAAAUCCGUAGAUAUCACUAGGAAUACCGAAAGCGAAGGCGACCUGCUGGGACAUUACUGACGCUGAGGCGUGAAAGCGAGGGGAGCAAACAGGAUUAGAAACCCCUGUAGUCC